UGGUCAUUACCAAGGCUUUGAGAAAAUUCAGUUUCUCAUUUGCUGUGGACAUGACCAUAAAAAAAUUCCCAUUAGGUUUUGUAUGUGCUACUUGUCUAGCUGUUAACCUGUUGGGGACAUUC
ensembl:snoRNA